rnacentral:rRNA from 1 species
CGCAAGCCUGACGGAGCAAUACCGCGUGGGGGAUGACGGUCUGUGGAUUGUAAACCCCUUUUCUCUAGGAAGAAGUUCUGACGGUACUAGAGGAAUCAGCAUCGGCUAACUCCGUGCCAGCAGCCGCGGUAAGACGGAGGAUGCAAGCGUUAUCCGGAAUUAUUGGGCGUAAAGGGUCCGCAGGUGGCUAUUCAAGUCUGCUUUCAAAGAGUGGAGCUCAACUCCAUAGAGGGAGUGGAAACUGAGUAGCUAGAGUAAGGAAGGGGUAAGAGGAAUUCCCAGUGUAGCGGUGAAAUGCGUAGAUAUUGGGAAGAACACCGGUGGCGAAAGCGCUCUACUGGACCAUAACUGACACUGAGGGACGAAAGCCAAGGUAGCG